UACGUAGGGUGCAAGCGUUGUCCGGAAUUACUGGGCGUAAAGAGCUCGUAGGCGGUUUGUCGCGUCGUCUGUGAAAACUCGAGGCUCAACCUCGAGCUUGCAGGCGAUACGGGCAGACUUGAGUACUGCAGGGGAGACUGGAAUUCCUGGUGUAGCGGUGAAAUGCGCAGAUAUCAGGAGGAACACCGGUGGCGAAGGCGGGUCUCUGGGCCGAUACUGACGCUGAGGAGCGAAAGCGUGGGGAGCGAACAGG
rnacentral:rRNA from 1 species